GACGGAGGGGGCUAGCGUUGUUCGGAAUCACUGGGCGUAAAGGGCGCGUAGGCGGCUAUAUAAGUCAGGGGUGAAAUCCCGGGGCUCAACCCCGGAACUGCCUUUGAUACUGUAUAGCUAGAGUUCUUGAGAGGAUAGCGGAAUACAUAGUGUAGCGGUGAAAUGCGUAGAUAUUAUGUGGAACACCAGUUGCGAAGGCGGCUGUCUGGCAAGAAACUGACGCUGAGGCGCGAAAGCGUGGGGAGCAAACAGG
rnacentral:rRNA from 1 species